CCGUCCGGAAAAUGGCCGCCGCUGCCGCCACCGCCGCCGCCGCCGCCGCGCCGAGCGGAGGAGGAGGAGGAGGCGAGGAGGAGAGACUGUGAGUGGGACCGCCAAGGCCGCGGGCGGGGACCCUUGCUGGGGGGCGGGUAGGGGCGGGACGUGGCGCGGGAGGGGCCCGCGGGGUCGGGCGACACGGCUGGCGGAUGGCGUCCCUCCUCUCUACCCUCCCCCUCCCUCUGCCGCCGGUGGUGGCUUUCUCCACUCGUCUCCCGCAAUCGCGAGCGACGGUUCUCAGCGCGAUCUCCCUGGAGCCACCUUCGAAUGACGCCCUCCCGCUGCCCGCCCCAUCUGUGCGCAUCCUAGGCCCCAGCUGUGCAAGCGCCCUUGUCGUCUGGGCUUCGCCAGUUGGGGCUGCGCGCGCUCCUGCCCUUCUUGGGGCUUUGGGCCUCGGCACUGUCGCGCGCCCGCGGUCCCGGCCUCUCCCUGGAUCGCGCUGUCCCCUUCUCCCUCGCGCGCCCCCACUCCCGUUACUUGCUCCCCCCUCACACACACAGACUGGCGCGCGUGCGCAGUCCAUCUCCCGUUGGGAGAGUGCGCCACAAGGGCUCCUGAGCUCUUACCCCCAUCUCUGGGUUUUGCUCCCUCCUCCUCCUCUCCCAUUCCGUGACUUUUUGCCCCCACUGCAAGCGAGUCGGUCCAUCAGCUCCAUUCCCCACUUGGCAGGAACAAGUUGAGGGUUAUUGUCCACCCACAAAAAGGACUAGACAUUAUGUUCCUAGGUCCCACAACUCAUCAUAAAGAGAUGGUUGUAGUUCUCAUCAGGAACCGUGGGCAAGGGACUGUGCGUUCCUCAGCACUCGAAGCUCUUCCGUGAGACCAUGCCCGCAGGGUGCUCUGGUUCUUUGGGGAUGCUGUGCUGUGGCUUCGGAAUAUGAGCGUCUUCCCACCCUCCCUCCCCUCCCUUCGCCAGCGAUCAUCCAGUUACAUAAGUGGAAUGGGACGUUGUAUGUAACGGGCUCUCUUCGUCCUGGAGCGCUCAGGAUCGCCAGUACCAAAUGGGGCGAGAUCAUCGCAUCGCUGUGACUCCUGUCACUUAUCUUUGAAAGUUCAUUCUCUUUUUAGUUUGGUUAUGGCUGAAUCACUGAAAAUAAAACACAGGUGACUUUUAUGUGGCAGUGGCAAUGUUUCUGAGGUUUUGCACUAAAGGUUUAAAGUCAUCAUGGAGUCUAAAAAAGAUUCCCUCUCACAAGAGAGACCCUGGUAUGACAUUGUUCAGUAUGGACCCCUGAAGGGCAAAGCUUGUUAGGGGAUACCUCUAUGCUGGUUCCUUGUAUGUUCGGGUAUAGGUUGAUCAAAACAAAAAUGGGCUCCACCACAAAUUUGAUAUUCCUGACUCAUAGUCAGGCAGAUAUGUACUCUUGGUUAAUUUUCCAGGAACACAAAUGGGCUCUGUUGAGUCAUUUGCAUGUUGACUCCACUGUUUGGAAUCAUUACAGUGAGGCAGUAGGCUCAAAUACAGGGUGGUUGAUGACGAUCAUGAAACAGAAUGGACUAAUUUAUAGUGCUAAGUGACUGAGAUGUUGUAGGACAAGUUCUAGAUAUUUUGUUAUACUACAUAAAUGAAACCAAUUUGGGCCUGGGUAGUAAAAUUUCACUAAUAGGUAAUUAUUACUGUAGAGGAGAAUUUUGGGUUUGUGGUUGGAAUUAUGUGAAUCUCAGCAAUUUCAAUUAAUAACAUGAUUAAACUGAUAUCUUAGGUUCUUUGAAAUAUGUCGAAUCUCUAUAAAAAGAUAAAAUUUGGAUUGUUAGGUCCUUGGGGAGUUUCCACCAAGGAUUUGGAAAAAUAUAUUUACAGACUUUUGGUUUUUCGUUUGUUUUUAACUUCAAAUUCAAGUCAUACUCAGAAAGCCUAGGAAACACUUGCUUUUAUUUUCUUACCUGGAUAUGUCAGAACCUUAAAGAGUCCAAACACUGUAAAAGUACAAAUGAUCUAAAAUGAGUUAAUACACAUGGCCGACAGAGUGCAUUCACUUUCACAAACACACCCAAGUCUUGCUUGUCAAAAAAUUCCAAGGUUUGUACAUCUGAGCCUGAGCUCAGAGUUGGAACCUUUACUUUGUUUUUAUAUUCUUACAACAGGUUUGCUUCCUCAGGUGCCCCUCUGGUUAUCUAUUUGUUGUACCCAUAGCUCUUUAAACAUCGUAAGCAACUUCUAGAACACAGUUUCCUUUCAAAGUGCCUGGUGACAUCUGAAGCUAGUGUGUCCUAAGAAUUUGAAGAAACUGUAUGGCUUUCUUGCUAGUAUUGAUCUAUCACAUAUGCCUAUUUUCUUUCCAUGAGAAUGUGUCUUGAGUACUUUAAAGCUACAGUAACAGGUCACUAUUUCACUGAAGAAGAAAGCAUCAUGUUGUCCAUUGUACUCUAAGGAUUAUUUUUUUCCUUUUUUUUUUUUGUUAUUGUUAUACUGGUGGUCAAACCCAGGACCUCAUGCAUGCUAGGCAAUCACUCCACAUCCUUAGCCUUCUACUCUGUUUUUUGUGCUGUUUGACUCCUGAGGUACAUAUGACCACAAAGACUACACAUAGACCACAAAGAUUUUGGAAGGUUAUGAUAUGUUUUUGCAAUCUGUGUAUUUUCCAGAUAGAGUGGUUCACUCUACCUGAUCUGCUUCUAUGAAGCCUAAUCUAUUGGGGAUAGGGAGGCAAAGCUAUGGAGUUUAAGGAGAAAUCAGCUAAACCCUUGUUCCAGUGCCCCAACUCCACCCAUGAACUCCUGAGAAGUUUUUUUUUUUUUU
rnacentral:lncRNA from 1 species